UGGGAAGGGGAGGAGGAGAGUGGGAGAGGACACUGAGGGCCUUCCAGGAAAAGGAAAGAGGGGGACGGAAGGAGCCUUAGGGGGGAAGAAGUGUAGAUGUGGGACCCCUAAAGAAAGGGGGAGGGGCGACCCAGCGGCUCGCCCGGCCUGGCCAGGUGCUUGGGCCCGGCCGGGCCGCCCCGGCGCUCGGAGCCUGCAGCGGUCAGACAGACGCUGUAACCGGGAGGAGGUCAGUGGGAUGCAGAGUCUGGGUUCUCCUACGGGGAGGGAGGGAAAGGCUUGGCUUUUCUAGCUGGCAGUGCCCCCUCCCCAUGCUGGAAACCCGGGGCCCGAGCUGUCCUCCGGGGAGAGGGGAGGAGGUGGGGGAGAAGCGGGCGCGGCGGCGCUAGACUCCGAGGAUCCGCUUCCCGGAGGACCCCGCCUCUCCUUCCCCCGUACCGCCCCCGCCCGGCGCGGCUCGCUCCUCGCCAGGCCAGGCGGGGACUCAGGCUUUAACCCCGCGGGGCCCGGGAAACUCCCGACGGAAGUUGACUCUCCCGGAGAAGGGGACGCGAAGCCGAGGAGCCGCGGAGCCCGGCAGCUGCGCUGGGGGAGCCCAGGGCGGCCGGCGGGAGCGGCUGGAGCGCUUCCCCGAUGGUUGGUGCGCGGGACAGAGGGCGCAGCAUCCACUAGCCUCCUGUCUCCCUACUUCAGGCCUCGGUUCCUGGUCGCCGCGGCCUGAGACCCAGAGCUAAGUUCCUGCACCGUCGCCUUAGAGAAGGGGGUAGGAGGUGGUCCUGCUUUUUGCUUCUUUGUCAGAACACCCCGGGAAAACACGUGGUGCUGGUCCUUUGGCAGAAAAGAGCAAUGGAAGGACAAGGGGGCACUGAGGCUUUCUAGGGUUUGAAAAGUCCAGGGCUUUUUUUCUUGCCGGACUUGUCCAUUUUACGUCCGGUCCUCCUUUCCCCACCCAGCUGUUGCGGGCUGCAAGCUCCUAGUGACGUUCUCAAUGCCAAGACUCGAGGCAGCACAGAUCACACGCUAAAACCUCCAGGCCUCAUUUCUGUUAGCACCCCUGUAAACUUUCUAAGGGGAUGGAGACACAGAUACUGAAAAUGGGGGAGUCCAGAACCCCAGCUUUUUUUUUUUUUUUGGUUUUGCCAGUUGUUUAUGAGUAAGGUACUCAUUUAUUUAUUCAUUUAUUUAUGAAGCCAGCACGAUUCCCUAAACUUCCCCUCUGUCCCAGAAUGUCCAAAGUCUUUGGUGGCGAUGCGAGCGUGGUUGAGUGAGUGGUCCGGCUCUCCCUAAGACUUCAGCUCCUCGAGGCCUGUCUUCUAGAGUUGAGGACACAAGCCACCACCAGGAGAGUAAGUUCCCGCACCUUUGUAGACUUCCCCUGUGGGUAGAGCAGGUCCUAGUGUACCAGGCCACUUUGUCUAAAGACCCAAGACAAGGCAUUUGUCCUCCAGUGAGCUGUGAGCAUCCUGGGAAACCUGGAAAAUCUGUUACCCAGACUGCAAGGAUGUCCCCCAGCAUACUUUGCUACUAAUGGCGGACUUACCCUUUCCAGGGGUCUCUUCAGCUGACAGGCAGUUCCCAGCUCUGGUCACAGCCAAAAUACUUUUUUGGUAAAAGAAGGCCAGAGAAGGAAAGACACACCUGGCUGGGUGCUGGGCCAGCCAGUCACUUUGGACCUAUUUCACCAUUAGCUGGGGUCUCAGUGAGGCCCUUAACCCCAGUGCCGGCCUUCAGUGGGUGUGAGAGUGCUAACAUUGCCAAGGAUGGUCUCUGCGACCCCAGCCAUGGCUUGGCCACAAACCUGCCCCUCCUUGGGCCUUUGAAGCUUUCCCUGUUGGGGGUGGGGGGUUCUCCCAGGAUUGGGCCUUGACAAUCCUCGCAGCAGGCAGCUUCUCUGCCCUCCUGGAGCCUCAGAAUUGCAGCUUCUCUGUCCUUCUGGAGCCCCACAAUUGUGAACCUCCCCAUGGCACAGCUCAACCACCAACUCCGCCUGGAGCCGACAGGCGUCUCUCAGCAGCAGACAAAGCAGAGUGGAUCAGGAGCCUGCCACCCAGAGUGCCGGAUGGAAAGCCAUUACCAAGCAAGCACAGGAAAACUGUAGUCCUGUCACCCAAGGCGCGAGCGUGACGUGACAUCAGUUAUCAUCUCCUUCCACCUCUGUCACAAACCAGUCCUAGCAGGUCUGGGCCAGAACCUCUUGGCAGCUGGGAGCCUGGCUGGAUGCCUGCCCUAAAAAGCUGCCUUGCAGAGUUCCCUGGGAGCAUCGGACUUUCCGGAAGGCACUUCUGGGUAUGCUCCGUGAGCCGACAGGAUUUCUUUGCCCCAAAUCUUCGGACAGGGAUGGUCUAAGGCCUUUACGCCUGGAAAUGGGCUGAAAGCUCGGAGGAGGCAGCCCGAAGGCCGCCUGCACCCACUGACCAGAGGACUUCUUGCACACCACACUCACGCGUGGCCCCAUGGGUGUCCCAAGGACAUUCUCGGCUAGGGUUGGGGGCAUUCGAAGUGAAAUCAGAUGAUCCACCGGGAAGAAAGGACUUGCCGCGCAUUUCCAAGGCCAGUGGACCAAGACACCUUGGCUCUGGGCAAACCUUGUGGCUCAAUAGAGAAGCAAUGGGACCGGGUCCUUCGUCCCCAGUCAGGGAAGCUGAGCUUGCGCGCGAGCCCAAUCUUUAUCUCCCCAGCCUCUGAAGGGCUGCAAGAGAUCUCCAGGACUGACUCCGGCUUUAAGCGAGGCUCGGGGAUGGGGCGUCUGCAGGUCGGGGUGCGCCGCUGGACGCCGACUCUUGUUCUCUCUCUGCCGCCAACUCUCCCCAACCAUCUUGGGCCUGAGCGGUGCGCUUCGUUGAAAGCGGGCCAGCGGCAACAGCGGACUCUGCGCCUUCCCACCCACCGGCCUCUGGCAGCCGCCAAUUCUGCCGUGUCCUCGCAAGUGCUGUGGCAUGUGCAAACUCUGACACCCCGCGGCUUUCUGUGUCGCUCAGCGCGUGGGAACUGGUCAGGUGCUGGUCUACUGCUCGCCAGCACUUGGCCGAACGGUUCGGCACCCUGAGCCCAGGCAAGGGCCCUGGGCUCCGGUGACUUCACUCUGGAAGGGGAGUAAACCGCGUUGUCGCCUGCGCCGCACGUGGCCGGGACUGUAACAGGCCCCAAGGAUCAGGGCAGCACGGAUCCCAGGGGAUCUGUGUCUCUGACCUGCGAGCCCUGGGCCAGAGACCCACGCGGGCAGUCUGGAGGCUCGGCUUUAGAAAACGAUUUGGAGGCCGCGGCCCCACCAGGGAUCUUGUGCAAACGAAAAGAGAAAGCGCCGGGGCUCGAAGCGCCUUUGGGGGCCCUCAAGGCCGCCGACCCGCCGGGGAGGUGCCAGCAGCGGGCGGGGUGUGAGGCGACUGCCAGGCCCGGCCGCCUCCCUGCGAUGCCCGGCCGGCCCCCGCCCGCGCUCGCCGCUCAGGCCUGGUGCGCCUUCCGACGGCGCUGCGCCCCGUGCGGGGCCCCUUCGCUCGGAGUGGGGGCCGCGGGCGCAGGGGGCCCGGCAUCCGGCGAGGGGCCGGCUCGUGCAGUUUCUCAGGAAGCUGCUGAACCGGGCCCCGGGGUGCUUUUUCCGCGGGACAGGAGGGUGACUGUGCGUUCCCGGGCGGUCUGCUGCGGACACCACGCGAGCGCCGCCACGCGUCAAGUCCCCAAGUUCAGGUCCAAGGGUGGAUUUACUUAGUCCUCCCCGCCCUCCAGGCCUCUAAGAGCAGGAGGAAGACGGCGCCUUGACAGAUCGCUAGCUCCUUCCGGGCCAACCUCGCAGCACUGCCCCGCCUAAAGGCUGGCUGAGAAAGAGAAAAGGAAGACGGUACGUGUCGGCGAGGAAACACACACACACACACGCAUACACACACACACACACACACACACACACACACACGCAUACACACACACACACGCAUACACACACACACACACGUAUACACACAUACACACACACACACACACCAGUUAUCAGCAGAUGGGGUCACAAGAUCAUAGGAGCGUCCCCCUACCUCGUCCCCCUCCCCCCACACAAGGACCUGGGCUCCUGGGACGCGCUUAAACGGACGCCUGAACGACCACAGGGAUUUGACGGACAGCAACAGCUGGGGAGGUGUAGGCCGGUCGACGACUCCCCCCCUCUUCGCUUUAGUCCUAACGCGUUCAUUAAAACCCUCCUCUUGUUUAGAGCGGCAGAAUCGGGGCCUGGAGUCUCAGGACCGAAGAAGCCACGGGCUGGAUGCUCUUAAAAAGUCAGGACUCAUGCCUACAGCACCACCAAGUUUUCCUGGGUCACAGGAGAGUUUUCUCGGUUAUUCCAGCUUUUUUUCUGGAGAGGCUGACUUGACCUGUAUUUCCUCGGUUUCCUUACAAACAUUCUCUAUAGGCAAAGGUAAUUACAAUGCAUCAGCCCCGCUCAUCAGUGACUACCCUCCCUCCAGGUGGCGACUACCGCUGGCAGUCCUAGUUUGGGUAGCACCCGGAAGAGAGUCUCCUCCAGCUGGUGUCGACUCAGGGCGUCCCACCAAGCCCUGCCCUUUGAAGGAGACCUGGAAAAGGCCGACAUUGUUCUUACCUUGGAAACCCAAUACCUUGUUGUCAUUUUGAAUUAAGACUAAAAUCCCCAGGCCAAUUCUUAUAGAAUGAUGUGCACUAAUUGAUUUAUGCAGAGGGCUGUAAAAACACUUUGAUGAAGUAGGUAGAAACGAAAUCCGGGGAAGGCAGAUAGCGCAGGGACACGGGGGGAUGCAGCUGCCACAGAGGGAACUGGUCAAAACCGGCCUUAAAUAAGUGUCUUCUACCAUCAAGGUGGCCCUCUGUCUUGUGGUGACAUGCAUGGCUGGCCCCUUUGCAGUGGCUGUCUUCAUCCCAGCCAUCCUAAUAGAGCUGCAUCGCCAGCAGGUGGUCACACACGCAGAAUUGUGAGGGGUGUGGAACAGAGGCUGUGGGCUUUGGCCUCAGGCAGCUAUGGGCCCUUGACUCCCGAGAGUAAGCUACUUAAGCUUGAAACUUUAUUUUGCUCAUUUGUAAAAUGGGUUUAGGAGACCAACAGCAAGCAGUUAACAGCUGUUGAAUUGAAUGCAACUACUUGGGAGAUUAUAGGUUAACUCAGUAAACCUCUGGUUCAUAGUAGGUGCUUAAUAAUUGCGGCUACUGUCACUAGGUCUACAAUUGUGAAAGUGAGUUCAGAAUUGCAUGUAAUUAGUGUCACGUAACCUCUGAAUAUCCUUAGCUUCAAUGACUAAUGACAACUGAACUUUUAAAAUAUUGCAAAGACGUUUUCAUUUUUUUUUAAAGAUUAUUUUAAAAAGUUACGUGUUUGAGUGUUUUGCCUGCAUUUAUGUAAGAGCAGCAUGUACAUGCAGUGCCCUUGGAGGCCAGAAGAGGGAGUUGGAGACUCUGGAACUGGAGUUACGAGUGGUUGUAAGCCACCCCGUGGGUGCUAGGCGCUGGACCCCUGUGCUCAGGAAAAGCAGCCGCGCUCUUAACCGCGGAGCCAUCUUCCCAGCCCCACAUAGAUAUUUUUAGAAUAAAGAACUGACCAGUUUUAUGGUGUACACCCCUCUGCUCCUGUCCUGCUGUGACCCACCCGGCUGUGAAUCCCCUCUUUGUUCAGCACGUCCACGGCUUACACCACUCAGCCCCAAGUCACCCUGCAACUCUGCACCACCAGAUCUUCUGUUGUGAUGUUGUAGAGCUUUUGCCCGAGCAACCCUUAUUUGUGCCUCGAAGCACAAGGAUAAUGAUGAUAGCCUUUUAUCCAAACAUACUGUCAUACCCGUUUCAUGUGAUCAGAUGCUAUUGCUGUUAACCUCCUACUGUGCGUAAAUAAAUUAAACUUUAUCAUAAUAUGUUUGCAUAUGAGAAAACAGUCCAUAGAGAGUUCAGUACUUGCUGGGAUUUCGGGCAUACAUGCAUUUGGAGUCUUGGAACAUGCUCUCUGCAGACACUGUGGAGACUAUCGAAUUUCAGCAAACUUCCGGGUUGAGUGUCAAAAGGAUUUAUUUUUCAAACAACAAAUUCCAAACCUACUUGACUGGAGGUUUUUCAGGGGAGGUUGGAAGAUGGGGGGUUUUAGGAGAGACUCUCUGUGUUUCUGGUGCUGGCCAUCCACACUUGGAAGUACUGUGGGCUUUGGGGCAGCUAACUGGGUUAGAGUCUCCUCUGUGGCUCAGUAAUAAGCAAGAGCAAGCAAUGUAAUCAUCAGAAGUCGCUUUCCCUGUCUGGGAGAGGAGGGCAUUAGACAACACCUAACUCCUGGGGUUUGGGAAGAGGAAGUGAGCUAAUGCAUUCAAAAUGGCUGGAUCCCUGUUUUGAGACAAAUAGGAGAUUCAGCUGCCAAAAUGUUUUGCAUUAUCUGAUGGUGUUUCCAGGAUUUGGGUCUCAUUAGAACAAUUCUCAGAAAGCAAAAGACAGCUGUGUGUAAGCGUGACAUUGCAUAUUCCUGUGGGCUUGAGACAACGUUGCUCCUUCUGUUGGGGGCGUUCCCAGGACUGAGCACAAAGGAUUACAUUAAACAUUCUAUAGCCAUGAAUGGACUGUGAUGGCUAUAACUUGAGUCCACUCUCCUUUUCUUUUGUAUUUUCUUCAUCAGCCCCUGUGCCUUCAAAUAA